rnacentral:rRNA from 1 species
AUUGAACGCUGGCGGCAUGCCUUACACAUGCAAGUCGAACGGCAGCACGGGAGCAAUCCUGGUGGCGAGUGGCGAACGGGUGAGUAAUGUAUCGGAACGUGCCCAGUCGUGGGGGAUAACGCAGCGAAAGCUGUGCUAAUACCGCAUACGAUCUAUGGAUGAAAGCGGGGGAUCGCAAGACCUCGCGCGAUUGGAGCGGCCGAUAUCAGAUUAGCUAGUUGGUGGGGUAAAAGCUUACCAAGGCGACGAUCUGUAGCUGGUCUGAGAGGACGACCAGCCACACUGGAACUGAGACACGGUCCAGACUCCUACGGGAGGCAGCAGUGGGGAAUUUUGGACAAUGGGCGCAAGCCUGAUCCAGCAAUGCCGCGUGCAGGAUGAAGGCCUUCGGGUUGUAAACUGCUUUUGUACGGAGCGAAAAGGCUCUCUCUAAUACAGGGGGCUCAUGACGGUACCGUAAGAAUAAGCACCGGCUAACUACGUGCCAGCAGCCGCCGUAAGAC